UGGGGAAUAUUGCACAAUGGGCGCAAGCCUGAUGCAGCGACGCCGCGUGAGGGAUGACGGCCUUCGGGUUGUAAACCUCUUUCAGUAGGGAAGAAGCGAAAGUGACGGUACCUGCAGAAGAAGCGCCGGCUAACUUCGUGCCAGCAGCCGCGGUAAUACGUAGGGCGCAAGCGUUAUCCGGACUUAUUGGGCGUAAAGAGCUCGUAGGCGGUUUGUCGCGUCUGCCGUGAAAGUCCGGGGCUCAACUCCGGAUCUGCGGUGGGUACGGGCAGACUAGAGUGAUGUAGGGGAGACUGGAACUCCUGGUGUAGCUGUGAAAUGCGCAGAUAUCAGGAGGAACACCGAUGGCGAAGGCAGGUCUCUAGGCAUUAACUGACGCUGAGGAGCGAAAGCAUGGGGAGCGAACAGG
rnacentral:rRNA from 1 species